GAUGAACGCUGACAGAAUGCUUAACACAUGCAAGUCAACUUGAAUUUGGGUUUUUAACUUAGGUUUGGGUGGCGGACGGGUGAGUAACGCGUAAAGAACUUGCCUCACAGCUAGGGACAACAUUUGGAAACGAAUGCUAAUACCUAAUAUUAUGAUAAUAGGGCAUCCUAUAAUUAUGAAAGCUAUAAGCGCUGUGAGAGAGCUUUGCGUCCCAUUAGCUAGUUGGAGAGGUAACGGCUCACCAAGGCGAUGAUGGGUAGCCGGCCUGAGAGGGUGAUCGGCCACAAGGGGACUGAGACACGGCCCUUACUCCUACGGGAGGCAGCAGUGGGGAAUAUUGGACAAUGGACCAAGAGUCUGAUCCAGCAAUUCUGUGUGCACGAUGAAGUUUUUCGGAAUGUAAAGUGCUUUCAGUUGGGAAGAAAGAAAUGACGGUACCAACAGAAGAAGUGACGGCUAAAUACGU
rnacentral:rRNA from 1 species